AACGCACAUUGCGCCCGCCAGUAUUCUGGCGGGCAUGCCUGUCCGAGCGUCAUUUCAACCCUCAGGUCUCCCUCGCGGAGAGCUGGUGUUGGGGACCGGCCCCCCUCAGCGGUGGCCGCCCCCGAAAUACAGUGGCGGUCUCGCCGCAGCCUCCCCUGCGUAGUAGCACACCUCGCACCGGAGAGCGGCAAGGCCACGCCGUGAAACCCCCCACUAUCAAAGGUUGACCUCGGAUCAGGUAGGAAUACCCGCUGAACUUAA
rnacentral:misc_RNA from 1 species